AUACUUCUGUGGUAGGGGAGAUACCAUGAUCACCAAGGUGCUUUUCUCAGGGUGAGGCUCCUCCAUUGCACUGCGGCUGUGCUGACCCCUGUAAUUUCCCCAAAUGCAGGAAACUCAACUACAGAAUUUGUGGAAGUAGAGAACUGCGUUCAUGCUUUCUUCUG